AAUAUACAAGGUGCUGCAUGGUUGUCGUCAGCUCGUGUCGUGAGAUGUUGGGUUAAGUCCCGUAACGAGCGCAACCCUUGCCUUAGUUGCCAGCAGUUCGGCUGGGCACUCUAAAGGGACUGCCGGUGUUAAACCGGAGGAAGGCGGGGAUGACGUCAAGUCCUCAUGGCCUUUAUGACCAGGGCUACACACGUACUACAAUGGUCGAUACAAAGGGCAGCGACACUGCGAGGUGAAGCCAAUCCCGUAAAAUCGGUCUCAGUCCGGAUUGGAGUCUGCAACUCGACUCCAUGAAGUUGGAAUCGCUAGUAAUCGUGGAUCAGCAUGCCACGGUGAAUACGUUCCCGGGCCUU
rnacentral:rRNA from 1 species